AGAGUUUGAUCCUGGCUCAGAUUGAACGCUGGCGGCAUGCCUUACACAUGCAAGUCGAACGGCAGCACGGGUGCUUGCACCUGGUGGCGAGUGGCGAACGGGUGAGUAAUAUAUCGGAACAUGCCUGGUAGUGGGGGAUAACUAGUCGAAAGAUUAGCUAAUACCGCAUACGAUCUAAGGAUGAAAGCAGGGGACCUUCGGGCCUUGUGCUAUCAGAGUGGCCGAUAUCUGAUUAGCUAGUUGGUGGGGUAAAAGCCCACCAAGGCGACGAUCAGUAGCUGGUCUGAGAGGACGACCAGCCACACUGGAACUGAGACACGGUCCAGACUCCUACGGGAGGCAGCAGUGGGGAAUUUUGGACAAUGGGGGCAACCCUGAUCCAGCAAUGCCGCGUGAGUGAAGAAGGCCUUCGGGUUGUAAAGCUCUUUUGUCAGGGAAGAAAUCGUGGACUCUAACAUAGUCUGCGGAUGACGGUACCUGAAGAAUAAGCACCGGCUAACUACGUGCCAGCAGCCGCGGUAAUACGUAGGGUGCAAGCGUUAAUCGGAAUUACUGGGCGUAAAGCGUGCGCAGGCGGUUUUGUAAGUCUGAUGUGAAAUCCCCGGGCUUAACCUGGGAACUGCAUUGGAGACUGCAAGGCUAGAGUGUGUCAGAGGGGGGUAGAAUUCCACGUGUAGCAGUGAAAUGCGUAGAUAUGUGGAGGAAUACCGAUGGCGAAGGCAGCCCCCUGGGAUAACACUGACGCUCAUGCACGAAAGCGUGGGGAGC
rnacentral:rRNA from 1 species